GCAGCGUGUGGGUGGAGUCAUGCGAUAGAGGGAAAAGGUCUCCCUGUAACAUCACUGCUGUCCUCUUCUCUUGUUCUCGUGCAUACUGCUCGAUCUGAGAAACGAGUAUAUACGUCUCGCCCUCCGUCUUCCGUUCUCGGCUGCUCCCGCGCUGUUGUUGUCGCUACCGGGACGCACGCAGACCCCUUCGAAACCGAGGUGCAUGUGGCAUUUCUACGUACACCGCCCGGAACUUAUGUAGCACGGGUAUGCAUGCUUCUAUCGAUAGUGGUAUAUAUAUCGUACAUAUAUACUAUUCUAUGCCGUGUCGAUUAGCACGGAUAGUCGAUUGCUUCGAAUGGGAUGUUUAACGCGAUCUUGUUACGAAGAAGAUCGAUUAAUCGAACAAAUUAAAAUUAGUUAAACAAUUUGCGAAGAAUCUUAUGUAUUGUUUUGAGCUUGAUCUGUGAAAAAUCAACAUUGUAAAUAAUAUUAAUAAAAUAUUUUUUUUAUUGUU